UCCUCCCUAUAUUUGAGGCAAUGAAUACUAGAACAGCAAAUAAUUGGUGGUGGAACAACUUACUUCAAACGUCGUGAGCUAAGUCCCCAUUAUAACCAUACAAGAGGCUUGUC
rfam:Muricauda antarctica strain CGMCC 1.12174 genome assembly, contig: Ga0079848_105